rnacentral:sRNA from 1 species
AUGCUGCGAGUGAUUGUGGAAUCUGCCAGCAAUAUCCCUAAAACGAAAUUUGGCAAGCCGGAUCCUAUUGUUUCUGUUAUUUUUAAGGGUUCCAUGAGCCAGAUCCGAAUUGAGGCUGGAGUGAGUGCCUGUGAGCCAGGGGUGGCCAUUCUGCCCUAAGUUCCAUGCAGACAGCCAGGCUGUGAAGCUGAAUCUAGCUGGGAUUAGACUACACAGACCUCUGAGACCAAUUUCAACUCUGAGACUUGAUGAUUCCUACAAACAGUCCUCCAAACAGAACAGAUGAGAAAAAGAAAACAAAGAAAGUUGAUAAUGAAUUGAACCCUGUCUGGAAUGAGAUUUUGGAGUUUGACUUGAGGGGUAUACCACUGGACUUUUCAUCUUCCCUUGGGAUUAUUGUGAAAGAUUUUGAGACAAUUGGACAAAAUAAAUUAAUUGGCACGGCGACUGUAGCCCUGAAGGACCUGACUGGUGACCAGAGCAGAUCCCUGCCAUACAAGCUGAUCUCCCUGCUAAAUGAAAAAGGGCAAGAUACUGGGGCCACCAUUGACUUGGUGAUCGGCUAUGAUCCGCCUUCUGCUCCACAUCCAAAUGACCCGAGCGGGCCCAGCGUGCCAGGCAUGGGAG